UACGUAGGGUGCAAGCGUUGUCCGGAAUUAUUGGGCGUAAAGGGCGCGUAGGCGGUCUUGCAAGUCCUGUGUGAAAUCCCUCGGCUCAACUGAGGAACUGCACAGGAAACUGCUUGGCUUGAGUUCGGGAGAGGGAAGCGGAAUUCCGGGUGUAGCGGUGAAAUGCGUAGAUAUCCGGAGGAACACCGGUGGCGAAGGCGGCUUCCUGGACCGACACUGACGCUGAGGCGCGAAAGCUAGGGGAGCAAACGGG
rnacentral:rRNA from 1 species